UACGGAAGGCAGCAGUGGGGAAUAUUGCACAAUGGGCGCAAGCCUGAUGCAGCCAUGCCGCGUGUAUGAAGAAGGCCUUCGGGUUGUAAAGUACUUUCAGUCGUGAGGAAGGUGUUAAGGUUAAUAACCUUAGUAAUUGACGUUAGCGGCAGAAGAAGCACCGGCUAACUCCGUGCCAGCAGCCGCGGUAAUACGGAGGGUGCGAGCGUUAAUCGGAAUUACUGGGCGUAAAGGGCACGCAGGCGGUUAAUUAAGUUGGAUGUGAAAUCCCCGGGCUUAACCUGGGAAUGGCAUUCAAGACUGGUUAGCUAGAGUCUUGUAGAGGGGGUAGAAUUCCAUGUGUAGCGGUGAAAUGCGUAGAGAUGUGGAGGAAUACCGGUGGCGAAGGCGGCCCCUGGACAAAGACUGACGCUCAUGUGCGAAAGCGUGGGGAGCAAACAGGGAUUAGAUACC
rnacentral:rRNA from 1 species